rnacentral:rRNA from 1 species
AGUGAACGCUGGCGGUAGGCCUAACACAUGCAAGUCGAACGGCAGCACAGUAAGAGCUUGCUCUUACGGGUGGCGAGUGGCGGACGGGUGAGGAAUACAUCGGAAUCUACUUUUUCGUGGGGGAUAACGUAGGGAAACUUACGCUAAUACCGCAUACGACCUACGGGUGAAAGCAGGGGAUCUUCGGACCUUGCGCGAUUGAAUGAGCCGAUGUCGGAUUAGCUAGUUGGCGGGGUAAAGGCCCACCAAGGCGACGAUCCGUAGCUGGUCUGAGAGGAUGAUCAGCCACACUGGACCUGGGACACGGUCCAGACUCCUCCGGGAGGCAGCAGUGGGGAAUAUUGGACAAUGGGCGCAAGCCUGCUCCAGCCAUACCGCGUGGGUGAAGCAGGCCUUCGGGUUGUAAAGCCCUUUUGUUGGGAAAGAAAAGCAGCAGGUUAAUACCCCGCUGUUCUGACGGUACCCAAAGAAUAAGCACCGGCUAACUUCGUG